GUUUCUGUAGGUGAACCUGCAGUAGGAUCAUUACCGAACUCCUCACAACACUGGGUCCGCCCAAGUGUCAUGAAAAAACAAAUCGGACAACCAUGCAAGCCGAAAGAGAAUCAGAGCCAGACUCUAACUCUUAGCUCGGCAAAAAACAAAAUGUGACAACGCAAACUAUUUUUCGGGGUAUCUGAUUCGGUUUAAAGAGCAACGGCCGCCCCGAUCCUUUUUGUUUUACGUAACAAUUUGUAACCAAAAACUGUCUCUUAAACGAGAUGAUCUUAUACCACUCUAAGCGGUGGAUCACUCGGCUCGUGUGUCGAUGAAGAGCGCAGCCAGGUGCGUGAAUUAAUGUGAAUUGCAGGACACAUUGAACAUCGAUAUCUUGAACGCACAUUGCGGCUCCGGGUCACUCCCGGAGCCACGCCUGUCUGAGGGUCGGCUAAACAUCUAUCGCAAACUGCAUGCACGUCAGCGUUGCGCCUUGGACCGUACGUCUCCUCCUUUACGGGGGAGCGGUCUCAAAUGAUGAAUCAGAGUCUCCAAGCGAACGUAGCAAAAACCCCGGUAAAAACGGAACAUUUAACAGAGACGCAGCUCGAUGCACAAACAUGCGCUCUCAGUUUCCAAAAAGAAAGGGGGCGUUCAAUAUGAAAAUGUGAGAAAUAUAAAAGCUGGUGUUAAUCUCUGUUCGGCACGUUUUGUUUACGAGCCUUUCACACUCCGACCUCAGAUCAGACGAG
rnacentral:rRNA from 1 species